rnacentral:rRNA from 1 species
AAAAGCUUUCUUUAAUUGAAUAAUUGAAUUUAAUUUUUUAGUGCAAAAGCAAAAAUAAAAAUUAGGGACAAGAAGACCCUAUGAAUUUUUUAUUAAAUUUUAUAAAACUUUAUAUAAAAUUUAAUUUAAUUGGGGUGAUGGAAAAAGAAUAAAUAUCUUUUUUUUUAAAAAAAUUGGUUCCGUUUUUAGCGAUUAAAUGAAAAAAAUACUCUAGGGAUAACAGCGUAAUAAUUUUGGAUAGUUCAUAUAGAUAAAAUAGUUUGCGACCUCGAUGUUGGAUUAGGAUUCUUUUUUGGNGAANAAGUUAAAAAAA